rnacentral:rRNA from 1 species
CGAGCACGCGCGUGUGGCAUAUCAAUAAGCGGAGGAAAAGAAACUAACAAGGAUUCCCUUAGUAACGGCGAGUGAAGCGGGAAGAGCUCAAAUUUGAAAUCUUCAAGGUUCUACCUUGACGAAUUGUAGUUUAUAGAAGUGUUUUCUGUUAGUGGAGUGGCAAAAGUUCUUUGGAAUAGGACAUCAUAGAGGGUGAGAAUCCCGUAUUUGGUCAUUCCUCCUAGCGUUGUGAUACACUUUCAACGAGUCGGAUUGUUUGGGAAUGCAGUCCAAAAUGGGUGGUAAAUUUCAUCUAAAGCUAAAUAUUGGCGAGAGACCGAUAGCGAACAAGUACCGUGAGGGAAAGAUGAAAAGAACUUUGAAAAGAGAGUUAAACAGUACGUGAAAUUGUCAAAAGGGAAGCGUUUGACACCAGUGUUGUUUUUCCGAAAAUCAAUUACGAAUGUUUUAUUUUUGAGGAGUUAUGACUUCAUCGGCUUGCUCCUUUCUUUAUGAAACUUUCUUAAUGCACUUUUCGGUUAACAAGUCAACAUCAAUUUCUUUUGUUGUAAAAGGGUAUGAGGAAGGUGGCUUUCUUUUCGGAGAAAGUGUUUAUAGCCUUGUGCCUCUGCAAUCGGAGAGAUUGAGGUCUGCAGCGUAGAUCCUUCGGGGUUAGAUACGUUUGUGCUAAGUUAUAGCUUUUCAUAGACAACUUGUUGACUAUGUUUAGUCUUGUAGCUUACUCGCUGACGCUAUUUUACCUACGCUUAGGAUGUUGAUGUGAUACUGCGAGCA